UGCACAGGGCCAGCACAGCCAAGCAGAAGUCCUGCAGAUUUCUAAGAUUUCUGGUGUCUGUUUCCAGUGCUGUCGGAGGCCCUGUGGUCCCUGGAGGAUGAUCCCAGAGAGUGGAGAGGAAACUCCUGAGGAUGCAGACAGGAGCAGGGAGGAGAGAGCCAGAAGUGAAUACAGAGGAGGCAGAGAUGACUCAGCCCCACAGCUCUGCUGCAGGCCUCCAUAGCAUCCUGAAUACUGCAGAGUUACAGUGAGGGAGAUCCUGCGGCUCUUACAAAGCUACCAGCUGUAUUCUCUGAUUGGGCAUAUUACAUUUAAAAUUAAGUAAUUUGAUGGAUAUUCUUUAUAUUUAGUUUGAAACAUGCACACACACACUCUCACACACACAAACACACUCAUGCACAGUGGAUAAUGAUGAAGUUUCAUUGCAGUGGAAAGAAUCCACAGCACACAAGGGGUUCUGCGAAGCCAGGAUGGACCCUGCUCACCACUGUGGCCCAGGGUACACAGCCAUGUGCAAGGACUCAGAAGCCUUGGAAAAAGCAGUGAAUUGCUGGUGAUUACCAAGGAAAGAGAAGAAACACCAGACUUUAGAGAACCUUCCUGCACAGCUCAGUGGCCUGUCUCCAGGUGUAUUUCUGAGCUGAGGAGACAGGGGUCCUGGAGGCAGAGGAAGGAACCCAGAGGAACUGACCUGUCCCAUGUGUCCAAGAGAUACAUGUGUGACCAGGUUAGAGGCAGCCACGGAACUGAGAAGCAGCGAAAGCACAUCUGGAAUCCAGAAGUGAAUACAGAGAGGCAGAGACAGCUCAGCCCCACAGCUCUGCUGCAGGCCUCCAUAGCAUCCUGGCCACUGCACAGUCACAAUGGGAGAUCCUGAGGCCCUUGCCCAGCUACCAGCUGUAGUCUCUGAUUGUACACAUUACAUUCAAACUUAAGUCAUUUGAUGGGUAUUCUUUACAUCUGGUUCAAAACAUACCCUAACACACUAACACACUAACACCCUAACACACUAACACACAAACACACCCAUGCACAGUGGAUAAUAAUGAAAUUUCCUUGAAGUGGAGUCAGUCAAGGUAACAAGGGGUUCUGCGAAGCCAGCAUGGACCUUGUUCACCACUGUGGCCCAGGGUACACAGCCAUGUGCAAGGCUGUGUAGGGCCAUGAACUUCAGGAGCGAAUCAGUGAGAAUUCCAAAGUAUCAUGCUUGGGAAACUGCAGAAAACAGUAACAUCACUCAACAGAGAACAAAGCCUAACAUGCAGGGGACUGUGUAAUAGGCACUCAGAUCUCCUUCAUGGAAGAGGUCUCUGUUGAUUGAUACAGAAGUAGGGCAAAGGCAGACCCACAAGUGGGUGGGCUUAGAAGAACAAGAAAGAUGUGUUCUGACCCAGGAGCACUGAGCAUCUUAUCCUGACCAGGAUUUGAAGAGAACACUGUGUGAGGCAGCUUGAAGAACUUCUUCCCUAGGAACAGUUCCUUUCUGUUCUGGCAGGAGUCAAGUGACCAGGGCAUUGUGUGUCUUGGUAAAGAUCAGCUACCUAGGAUGUGGACAGAGAGCUGGGUGCCAUGCUGUGCCUGUAAAAGAAGUGUUACUAAGAAGAUCUACACAACAACCUGGAAUAAACCCCCCUUUCUGUG